rnacentral:misc_RNA from 1 species
AAGAAUUUGCCCCGUCCUCUCGAGGAUGGGUGGGCUCUGUCCUCCUGGCGUGGUUCUACGUCUUUACACACACACUACAACAAAGUCUUAUGGAAUGUAUGUCGCGUUUAACGCAAUGAAAUA